rnacentral:rRNA from 1 species
AUUGAACGCUGGCGGCAGGCCUAACACAUGCAAGUCGAACGACUGGCGGACGGGUGAGUAAUGUCAGGGAAAAUGCCUGCUGGAGAGGGAUAACUACUGUAAACGGUAGCUAAUACCGCAUACCCUCGGAUGUGCCCAGAGGGGAUUAGCUAGUAGGUGGGGUAAAGUAUCACAUAGGCGACGAUCCCUAGCUGGUCUGAGAGGGUGACCAGCAACACUGGAACGGAGACACGGUCCAGAGUCCUACGGGAGGCAGCAGUGGGGAAUAUUGCACAAUGGGCGCAAGCCUGAUGCAGCCAUGCCGCGUGUAUGAAGAAGGCCUUCGGGUUGUAAAGUACGUUCAGCGGGGAGGCGUUACCCGCAGAAGAAGCACCGGCUAACUCCGUGCCAGCCGCCGCGGUAAGUC